UGGACGCAAGUCUGAUGGAGCAACGCCGCGUGAGUGAAGAAGGGUUUCGGCUCGUAAAGCUCUGUUGUUAAAGAAGAACGUGGGUAAGAGUAACUGUUUACCCAGUGACGGUAUUUAACCAGAAAGCCAGGCUAACUACGUGCCAGCAGCCGCGGUAAUACGUAGGUGGCAAGCGUUAUCCGGAUUUAUUGGGCGUAAAGCGAGCGCAGGCGGUCUUUUAAGUCUAAUGUGAAAGCCUUCGGCUCAACCGAAGAAGUGCAUUGGAAACUGGGAGACUUGAGUGCAGAAGAGGACAGUGGAACUCCAUGUGUAGCGGUGAAAUGCGUAGAUAUAUGGAAGAACACCAGUGGCGAAGGCGGCUGUCUGGUCUGCAACUGACGCUGAGGCUCGAAAGCAUGGGUAGCGAACAGGAUUAGAUACCCUGGUAGUCCAUGCCGUAAACGAUGAUUACUAAGUGUUGGAGGGUUUCCGCCCUUCAGUGCUGCAGCUAACGCAUUAAGUAAUCCGCCUGGGGAGUACGACCGCAAGGUUGAAACUCAAAAGAAUUGACGGGGGCCCGCACAAGCGGUGGAGCAUGUGGUUUAAUUCGAAGCUACGCGAAGAACCUUACCAGGUCUUGACAUCUUCUGACAGUCUAAGAGAUUAGAGGUUCCCUUCGGGGACAGAAUGACAGGUGGUGCAUGGUUGUCGUCAGCUCGUGUCGUGAGAUGUUGGGUUAAGUCCCGCAACGAGCGCAACCCUUAUUACUAGUUGCCAGCAUUAAGUUGGGCACUCUAGUGAGACUGCCGGUGACAAACCGGAGGAAGGUGGGGACGACGUCAAAUCAUCAUGCCCCUUAUGACCUGGGCUACACACGUGCUACAAUGGAUGGUACAACGAGUCGCGAGACCGCGAGGUUAAGCUAAUCUCUUAAAACCAUUCUCAGUUCGGACUGUAGGCUGCAACUCGCCUACACGAAGUCGGAAUCGCUAGUAAUCGCGGAUCAGCAUGCCGCGGUGAAUACGUUCCCGGGCCUUGUACACACCGCCCGUCACACCAUGAGAGUUUGUAACACCCAAAGCCGGUGGGGUAACCUUUUAGGAGCUAGCCGUCUAAGGGGAAA
rnacentral:rRNA from 1 species